rnacentral:rRNA from 1 species
UACGUAGGGGGCAAGCGUUGUCCGGAUUUAUUGGGCGUAAAGAGCGUGUAGGCGGCUUUACAGGUCCGUUGUGAAAACUCGAGGCUCAACCUCGAGACGCCGGUGGAAACCGUAAGGCUAGAGUCCGGAAGAGGAGAGUGGAAUUCCUGGUGUAGCGGUGAAAUGCGCAGAUAAUCAGGAGGAACACCCGUGGCGAAAGCGGCUCUCUGGGCCGAUACUGACGCUGAGGAGCGAAAGCGUGGGGAGCGAACAGG